rnacentral:tRNA from 1 species
GGGGAUGUAGUUAAAUGGUAUAGUGCUUGACUAGCAUGCAUGUGGCUCUGGGUUCAAUCCCCAGCACCACCA